GGUUUUGUGGUAUAGUGGUUAUCACGUCUGCUUUACACGCAGAAGGUCCCCAGUUCGAGCCCGGGCGAAACCU
rnacentral:tRNA from 1 species